rnacentral:tRNA from 1 species
CUGAUUUUAGUUUAAAUAAUAGAAUAAUAGUUUUGGGGACUGUCGGUCCUGGUUGGGAAAUCAGA